rnacentral:rRNA from 1 species
CAGUCGCCGCGGGAAUACGUAGGGUGCGAGCGUUAAUCGGAAUUACUGGGCGUAAAGCGUGCGCAGGCGGUUCGUUAAGACAGAUGUGAAAUCCCCGGGCUUAACCUGGGAACUGCAUUUGUGACUGGCGAGCUAGAGUAUGGCAGAGGGGGGUAGAAUUCCACGUGUAGCAGUGAAAUGCGUAGAGAUGUGGAGGAAUACCGAUGGCGAAGGCAGCCCCCUGGGCCAAUACUGACGCUCAUGCACGAAAGCGUGGGGAGCAAACAGGAUUAGAGACCCGCGUAGUCCCUGUCUCUUAUAC